rnacentral:rRNA from 1 species
GACGAACGCUGGCGGCGUGCCUAAUACAUGCAAGUCGAACGCACAGUUUAUACCGUAGCUUGCUACACCAUAGACUGUGAGUUGCGAACGGGUGAGUAACGCGUAGGUAACCUGCCUGGUAUCGGGGGAUAACUAUUGGAAACGAUAGCUAAUACCGCAUAAUAUUGAUUAUUCCAUGAUAAUUGAUUGAUAUGUUCUAUUGCAUCACUACCAGCUGGACCUGCGGUGUAUUAGCUAGUAGGUGAGGUAACGGGUCCACUAGGGGAAGAUACAUAGCCGACCCGGGAGGGUGAUCGGGCAAAAUGGGACAGGAAAAAGGCUCAGGCUCCUACGGGAGGGAGCAGUAGGGAAUCUUCGGCAAUGGAGGAAAGGCUGAACGAGCAACGGCGGGUGAGUGAAGAAGGGUUUCGGAUCGGAAAGCUCUGUUGUAAGGGAAGAAAGGGUGUGAGAGUGGAAAGUUCACACUGUGACGGUAUCUUACCAGAAAGGGACGGCUAACUACGUG